GACGAACGCUGGCGGCGUGCUUAACACAUGCAAGUCGAACGGAAAGGCCCCCUUGUGGGGUACUCGAGUGGCGAACGGGUGAGUAACACGUGAGUAACCUACCCUUGACUUUGGGAUAACUUCAGGAAACUGGGGCUACUACUGGAUAGGAGCUCCUGCUGCAUGGUGGGGGUUGGAAAGUUUCGGCGGUUGGGGAUGGACUCGCGGCUUAUCAGCUUGUUGGUGGGGUAGUGGCUCACCAAGGCUUUGACGGGUAGCCGGCCUGAGAGGGUGACCGGCCACAUUGGGACUGAGAUACGGCCCAGACUCCUACGGGAGGCAGCAGUGGGGAAUAUUGCACAAUGGGCGGAAGCCUGAUGCAGCAACGCCGCGUGCGGGAUGACGGCCUUCGGGUUGUAAACCGCUUUCGCCUGUGGCGAAGCGUGAGUGACGGUAAUGGGUAAAGAAGCACCGGCUAACUACGUG
rnacentral:rRNA from 1 species